rnacentral:rRNA from 1 species
GCUGCAACUCGCCUGCGUGAAGUCGGAAUUGCUAGUAAUCGCAGAUCAGCAUGCUGCGGUGAAUACGUUCCCGGGCCUUGUACACACCGCCCGUCACACCAUGGGAGUCGGUAACACCCGAAGCCUGUAGUCUGACCUUUGGAGGACGCAGUCGAAGGUGGGAUCGAUGACUGGGGUGAAGUCGUAACAAGGUACC